GGGCCCAAGGCAUAGGUGGGAAAUGGAGGCCCUGAGACAUUGCCUGGGGUCAGGUGGCCAGUGGAUAGAAGGGCCAAGGUGAAACUCCCUUCCUGCAUGCCUCCUCGCUCCUUUUACAAGGCUGAAGGCAGGCUGCAAGUGUGGGGCAAGAAGGAAAAAUCAAUGAUCCUGCUUGGGGCCUGGAAGGAGAGAGGGCUGAGAGCGCUUCCCUCCCACGCUAUGAAAGAGCCAUCCUCACUGUCUGUCCUCUGCCCCCAGGUUGGCUGGAGAUGGAGUGGGAGCCGUGAAUAUCUCUGUGAUGAAUUCCACUGGUGGCAGUAGCAGUGGCGGUGGCAUUGGGCUGACCCUCGGGGGAACCAUGGGCAGCAAUGCCCUGAGCUUCUCCAGCAGUGCGGGUCCUGGGCCCCUGAAGGCUUAUUCCAUCCGGACCGCAUCCGCCAGUCGCAGGAGUGCCCGCAACUGAGCCACCUCCCACCACUCCAUUCCCCCGGCUACCGCCCACAAUCACAAGAAGCUUCCCACCCCUGCCUCCCAUGCCUGGUCCUAAGACAGUGAGACAGUCUGGAAAGUGAUGUCAGAAUAGCUUCCAAUAAAGCAGCCUCAUUCUGAGGCCUGAGUGAUCCACGUG
rnacentral:sRNA from 1 species